rnacentral:lncRNA from 1 species
AGUCAAUGGAAUUGGCAGUCAAGAGAAGUUUAACUGAAUCUCUGAGUGGCAAGAGUCAGGAGAGGUUUAACUGAAUAUAGAAGGAGAAGAAGUAUUUACAUUAGAAGUCUGAUUCACAGGUCGGGGCAAAGUGAAAAACAUCUGCACUUUUAAAAGAUCAUCAGGAUACUUGCCAACAAGGUCACAGUGGACUCCAUGGAGCAACUGCCCUCAGGAGGCAACAGAUGGCUUCACUUGCUUAUUGGCUGAAGGUCUGCAAGGACUCAAUUCACAUAUCUGAUCAUACCUGGAGUCCAGACUUUCUCCUGAUGCCUGACCCCUUUGCCAUUAGGUCGGCUCCGUAUGACUGAGUUCUAGCCAGUGAGGUAUGGGCAGAAGUGAUGUGUACCAAUUGCGAGCUCGACUUUUGAAAUCAUCCCACGUGAUCCUCCUGCCAUCUACCAGCCAUCCUUUUUGAUCUUGAAGGUCUUAUGCCUCAGAUUGUGUAACUACAGGAUGAAGGAAGGCCACUCAACCCACACUUGGACAUGAUGUUCUUUUUGAGGGGAGUCUCUCUGAUGCUUGGAAUGAAUCCUGCUGAAUCAAUGCUGAUGCUUGGAGAUCUUCAAGUCUUUUCCCUUUUUCCCAUUGCUCAUGAUGUCUAUAUAACCUCCAAACAUGCAUCCCACUCCUCUGCCGAAAGACCAUUUUUUUAUAUCUUCAGUGAUGGUCUAGGCCAGGUUAAUUGACUUUUCUUUUUUCUUAAGCCAACUAAAGUCCUCACCACAAAUUAA